GCCCCAGGUCCGGAGGGCGUCGGCGCGCGAAUCGCGUCAGGACCGUGCAGGUAGCAGCGCUAAGCGAAGGCAGACGUCGCUCCGGGGUGCCUGGGGCACU
rnacentral:SRP_RNA from 1 species